CCGACUUCAAACCGAAUCGAAACCGAAUUGUCAAACCGUUUUGACAGUGCUAUUCUCGACCCUCAAGUUUACGUUCCUUCUCUAAUUCAAUGGCGAAUUUCUACAGUUAGGGCAAUUGGAAGUUUAAUUGGUUGUGGUGGGGUCCGACGGCGGCGACGGCAGGAUGAAGAGAAGGAGUGUGCAGUGAGAAGGAGGUCAAGGAUAGAAGAGAUUGUGAGGAAGAGCAGAUGGUUGUUGUUGUUGGCGGUUUUGGACGAGGUGCAUGAGUUCUUCCCAUAAAAUCAUGGUGUCAUGGUACAAAAGAUCAAGAGUGUGCUGUGGUGGUGAAGCCUUGAAGUUUCUGAAGCAUCUCCAUAUUAGGUCCUCAGAGAAAGGGCUUUACGAAGGUGAGAUCUUAUUCAAUUGAUUGUUAAAAUUAAGGUAAGGCAAUGGAGAAAUUCUUGGUCAAGUAGUGUCAUCUAAGGUACAAUUGCUAUUUCACUGAUAUUUUUUUAUGGUUGAAAUGUUUUGAUCGCUUUAUAUUGUUCUGGUUGAGUGUACAUAUGAAAAAUUCAAUUAUGCAAUUGAAAUAAUUCAAAUUAAGAAACAAAUAUUUGAUUUUUUUUAUAAUACAUUUGUAUUUUAGCUAUUGUAUGUUAGAUUAGUAUCAUAUGAUUCUAUCUCUAUUUGUGUAUAAUUAUAGAUUGUGAACUAUCAAUUUGAUUACUUGGUUGAAGAGUUGUUGUGCAUCGGUGCAUUGAAUUGGCACUCUGUAUUAGAAUGUUGCCCGAAGAUGAUGCAAGAAAUCGUGUGAAGAAAGUUUCAGACUUUCAGCUAUUCACAAUCUCUGUCAUAAGGUAUAAAAAGAGGGGUGGGUGUGGGAGCUGCCUGCAUCAUCUUUUCUUAAUCUUAUAUAAUUUGAUUGGUUAGUCAUAAUUCUGAAGAUUUUAACAUGAACCUGACAUGGUAGAUGGUGCUAAGUCACAUACGAAAGUCAUGUAAGAAGUCAUAAUUCUCUGCUGGGUUGACUUAAUUUAUAUGUGAUUCGAUUUAGAACUAAUUAUUAUUUGUAAUUGAUUACAGAAGAAGGCUCCUUAUUACAUCCAGAAAGCAGAGAAGAGGAAGGCUGAUUAUGAAAAGAGCAUGAACACCUAUAACAAGAAAUUGAGGACAAAUUUGGCGAUGAACAAGGUAAAAUCAAAGUUUGGCCGAUUAUACGAAACCACUGGUUCAAUACUUCAAUCAGACCCUCCGUUUUAGGGAAUAUUUAUGUAGGUUCUACCUUGCCAAACUCUUGUUAUAAUGUAUUAUCGGUUGGACUUUCAUUACAAUGAACUACAAGUUGGGUUUAAAUGACAAUGAAGCCUCUGCUCUUCUUUUGUUUGCCUUCUUAAUUAGUGUAGAGUGAAAGCACUUAGCAGCUUUUGUACGCUAUACCAAUCCCAACGUAUCCUACUGUGAUUAUCCAACUACUAGGAGUGACAAUGGGUGCUAUAUCCUAAUUGGUUUAGAAACUUACUUAUAAUAUUCAUUUUAAAAUUGUUUUUAAUUUUUAUUUUUAUUUACUUUGGGAAACAUUGCCCCUUUUAAGUUAUAUUUUACUUGGUUGUCAGUAUGAUAAGCAUUAAUAAUUUUAACAGGCAGAAAGUUGAAUUUACAAGAUGUAAGUAUUCUACUUCAAUAUAUGUUGAAGUGCAUAUUGUAUGAUGAUAACGUUAAAGUUACUUGAAUUUGAUUA